AUGUUGCUCUCAGCCUCAGUGAACUCCAUCUCGUCCAUGCCUUCACCAGUGUACCAAUGCAAGAAAGCCUUCCUCCUGAACAUGGCAGUGAACUGCUCGCUCACCCUCCGGAACAUCUCCUGGAUGGAGGUCGAGUUGCCAACGAAGGUGGACGCCAUGGAGAGCCCUGUCGGUGGGAUGUCACAGACGCUGGACUUGACAUUGUUGGGGAUCCACUCCACAAAGUAG
rnacentral:rRNA from 1 species